rnacentral:lncRNA from 1 species
AUAGUUCAAUCAGUCCAUUACAAAUUGAUAAUCCAACAGUCCGCUACAAAUAAGCUAAGGUAACAAGUUUAUCCAAAAUAAAAUUCUAAACUAAUUGCAGUAGAAUGAACUAAUGAAACACAGUAAAAUUUCAGCAAGUAUCAGGUAGCAAUUUUGUUUACAUUUCCCUUGGAGAAAUUACAGUGGAUCAAACUCAGAGUGUGUAAAUCAAAACUACCAAAUUAAAACUAGUAAACUAAUACAUUGAAGAUGGAAACCAUUACUAAUAUUUUUUCUGAAUUUCUUUUAAACAAAUGUACGAAAAAGCUAACAGGAUACUACCUACAGUCAAUGUGAACUGUGCUACUAACCUAACAGAAUAUCAGAAGCUCAUACGAAUCUGAGAAUUAUCAGUUUAUACAAUCCAUUACAAAUAAACUAAAGUGACAAAUUCAUCAAAUAAAUUAUAGAACUAACUACAGUUUAAUGAACUAGUAAAGCAGUAAAAGACAACAAGUAGCAAUCAGCUGCUGCAUUUCUAUUUCAUUGGAGCAACUACAUCAUAUGGAAUCCAGAAGGUGUACCUGGGAAUCGAAUUAUAUCAGAAGAAGAGGAGAUCAGCAGCAAGUAGUAACAGCUAGUAUCUAACAGUCACAUAAAGCAACAAUAAGGAUAGUUUUGAAUCAAAAUCACUUCACAACAACCUAGGAAACUUCAACAGAAACACAGCACCAGCAGACGACCAAAGUAAAUUGAUUGAACCCCAAAAACUAUUCGAAAUCAAACAGAAACACCUCUGAACCUUCCAAUUACCAGAACUGAACUAAAAAAUGUAAACCAAUAGCUAAAAGUUGAAAUUCAUCUUCAGUUUUAAUGAAACAAUAACUUUAUUUUGGGUUUUCUGUUGUUUUUUGUUAGUUUUGGUGUUUUGAGGAGCUAGAUCUCAAUUAGAAUUUGAAAAUCAAAUCUGAAACUUAGAAUAGCGGAAAGGGGUUUUUGGGGGAAAAUUUGGAGGCUGAAAAAAAAUCUUUCCUAAGGCAUGGGAAUGCCAUUUUAUAUGCACAAUGAGGGUGAGCAUCAGAUUUUUAUUUUUCCUUUUGGUCCCCCUCUUAUUUUCACAACAGUCCUCAAGUUAUUAACUUGAUACUCGAAUAAACCUAUUAACUUCCUGAAAUUAGAACUAAAUACCUAUUCUAGAAUAUUUUAAGGUGUUCCUUUUCAAUUACUAAAACAUUCUAUUCAUUCCUAAGUAACCAAAUACCCCUAUGGUUACACUAAAUUUGCAUCUUAACCAAACAACUAAACAAAUGUAAUCUUAAUUUACCACUUAUCCAAUUAUCUAUUAAACUCAGUAUUAAAGAUCGGAAUUAAAAGAUCAAUCAUUAAGCUCUACUAAACUUAACUAAUAACAGAUGAGAAAAUCAAAGAAUAGGGAAUGACUAACAUAAUUAACUACAACAAAAUAAUCACCAAAAAACCACAAAAAGCAAAAAUUAAACUGAGAUAAAGCCUAACAUGUAAAGGCAUCGACUAAUCAAGACGAACAUAUUAAUCCCAAAAAGAAGAAAACCUAUUGAAUUAAGAUGAAAAACUAGGCUUAAAGUACUUGAACACUCAACAGAACUUAAAACUAAAUAUUGAAACAAGAACAAAAAACAAGAAGAGAAAACUUACUGGCCAACCCUAAGAUUCAAAAUUCGCCCGAUUCCAGUUGGAUUUGAAUGCUACUGAUCGUGAAUUCUUCAUGAGGGAAUCUCAAGGGCCAUGUAGUAUCAAUUUGGGGUUAUUUGGUGCAACUAGGGUUUUGGCCUGAAAAACUCAAAUUGAAUUUCGAACAGUUCUGGCAAAAUUCGAGGGUCAGGGGCUUGGGGGUUUGAUAGAGGAGGUUGUGGUGGUACUAUGGUGUAAGUUUGGUGGUGUUUGGUCUACUUUGAGUCAUGACCAGAAAAGUUUCAAUCCAAUAUUUUACGGGAUAGGGUGUGAUUCGAAGGUAACAGAAGGUGGAUUUGGGAAGAGGAGGAGAAGGAGAACCAGGAGUGUAAUUUUUAUGGUGUCUGGAGAGGGGCCGCCGCCGUGAGCGACUUCCGGCGGUGGCGUUAAACAGGCCUGUGAAUGGGGUAAUUUGGGACGACGAUUGGGGGGAGAGGGAGUUAUCCGACAUAUUUUUAUCAAAGUAACCCAUAGUUAUGGAUCGUCCGAUCAUAAGAACCUAGACGGUCCAGAUUGGGUGAUGCUUAAACGGGGUCGUUUCAAUGGGCAUGGGGAUUGGUUUGGGUGAUGGGUUGUUUGGCCGGACCGGGUGGGUUAAGGGUCUUUGGGCUAGUUUAAUCUAAACGUAGCCCAGGUCAGGUCAUCCUCAUUUUGGUCUUUUUUUUGUUUUGUUUUUUCCCUUUUUGUUUUGUUUUAUUUGUAUUUUAUACUCUCUCUUUUCUGAUUUUAUAAAAAUGGAAAAAAUUAAAACAAGUACCUAAUAUAUUUUUAAUAAUAAUCUAAUUAAUUCCUAAAAUUAUUUAAAUCUAUUUCACGACAAACUCAAUAAUUAACCAUUAAAAAUGCAAAAGUGGACUAUUUUUGUUAUUUUCUUUGUUUUCAAGCAAUUUUAACUGCUACUUAAUCCUAAAAUGUGAAAUUAAAUCUCAAACAAAUGCCAAAUAUGUUUUUAUAUUUUUUAUACGAAUUAAGAUGCACAGAUAAAAUGCAACGAUUACUAGAAAAUAACACAAAAAUCCACAAAAGUAUAAAAUAAUAAAGAAAUUAUUUCAUUUGAAUUUUUUGGGAAUAAUUCACUUAGGGAAAAAAUCACGUGCUCACAACUGCACCUGUUUUCCCAAAAACACGAAGAGUUUUCGUACAAAGAUAAGUGAGCAGAACGAGCGAUUUUUGCUCGUUCGAAUAUAUCGUCUGAACCAUUCUUGAAAAGUUUGAUCGCACCAUACUUCGGAGGUUGCCUACAUAUCAUUGAUUAAAAAAGGAAUCAUGUCAGUGUAGUUCGGGAAUAUCUGGUAGCUGGGACUACCAGGAGCUAUGAUUUUACUACGAUUGCUGGAGCUACUGCUUGCUGACCUCCCUUAUUAUACCAUGUCAAAAAUAAAUGAAACUAAGCUAAGCUAUGAUCUAUGAAUUACAAAAGUCCUAUAUAAAUUCUUCAAACUUGCUUUGUACUUCAUGUUGCCUUGUUGUCUUGUGUUUUCUUGUUGCCUUGUUGUCUUGUGUUCUCUUGGUGAAAUCCAUUGUUAUCACUUCGAAUUGUAAAUUGAGAUGUUGUCCCUUUUCUUCAAACUGCUGAACUUGAAUGUAUUUCCGACGUUGUCCAGGCGGGCUUCUGACUUGUAAACUUGAACUUGAAUGUAUUCCUCUAUUCUCCAAGCAGGCUUCUGACUUCACAAAAAUAGACAAAAUAAAGAAACUUUCUGCCUCAGUUUGGAAACUGGGUACAUGUUACUGGAUGAGAUUUAAAAACUAAAACUUGAAUUGUAAUACCUCUGUUCGCCAGGGGGGCUCCUGACUUCAAAACGUGAAUGUAUUUCUCUGUUCUCCAGGCGGGCUCCUGACUACAAACUUGAAAUAUAUUCCUCUGUUAUUCAUGCGGGCUCCUAACUUCACAAAAUAGAAAAAGCAAAGAAACUUUCUGCCCCAGUUUGGAAACUGGGUAUAUGUUAGCGGAUAUUUAUAAGAAUUUGUAAACUAAAACUUGAAUUGUAAUACCUCUGUUCUCCGGGCGGGUUCCUGACUUCAAAGAUUGAAAAAUGUAUUCCUCUGUUCUUCAGGCGGGCUCCUGACUUCAAACUUGAAAUGUAUUCCUCUGUUAUCUAGGCGGGCACUUGACUUCACAAAAUAAACAAAACAAAAAAACUUUCUGCCCCAGUUUGGAAAACUGGGUACAUGUUAUUGGAUAUUUACAAGAAUUAAAACUAAAACUUGAAUUGUAAUACCUCUGUUCUCUAGGCGGGCUCCUGACUUCAAGACUCGAAAAAUGUGUUCCUCUAUUCUCUAGGCGGGCUCCUAACUUCAAAUUUUGAAUGUGUUCCUCUGUUAUCCAGGCGGGCUCCUGACUUCAACAAAAUAGACAAAACAAAGAAAAAAUUUUGCCCCGGUUUGGAAACUGAGUACAUGUUACCAGAUAUUAACAAAAAUUGAAAACAUAAUGCUUGAAUUAUAACACCUCUAUUCUCCAGGCGGGCUCCUUACAUCAAAACUUGAAAAAUACAUUCCUCUGUUGUACAGGCGGUCUCCUGACAUCAAAACUUGAAAAAUGUAUUCCUUUGUUCUCCAGGAGGGCUCCUGACUUCAAAAUAGACAAAGAAAUCAAUUUGAAAAUUAAAAUUUGAAUUGUAAUACCUCUGUUUUCCAGGAGGGCUCCUGAUUGCUGAAAAUUGAAUUGCAUUUGUUCUCCAGGAGGGUUCCCGACUGCUGAACUUGAAAUUAAAUUUAUCCCUCUGUUCUCCAGGCGAGCUCCUGACUUCAAAAUAGACAAAUAAAGAAAUAUUUCUGCCCAGUUUGGAAGUUGGGUGCAUGGGUGAGUGUUAACUGAAUCAUUAUUACUAACUAUUACUAAGAGUUUGAAAGCUAAGUCCUAUUAUCUAUGGAGGUCCUGACAACCCCUAACAAUUACGAACCUAAGUUGUAUCUUCUAAAGGUAUUACUGUCACUACAUUAUGCUAUCCACAAAAGUUUUUUGAACAACAUCCUAUUAUUCAGGAAGGUCCGGAAAACUCUUACUUGAAUUCUAUCCUAAACAUGGAAACUUUGGAACCCACUUAUAUUUCCCCAUGCUAUUCAUCAUGAUUAUCCUGUAUUUUAAUCAAACCACCCCUUUGUGAUCAAACCUGAUUACUGUUUGUUUUUUCCCUUAUGGGGAGUUUCUCCAGAACGACCGAAUUUUUCUGCCCCUGUUUCAGUCAAAGAAAAUUUCAUCAAUUUAAAAUGGUGGUUGGUUUGUAGACUUGAACUUUCUGGCAAUUUCUUCUGCCCUUGCCACGAUGACUGAUUUCCACUCGAAGACCUUGCCCAUUUAUGAACCAACCCCUUUUCUGUUUAGACUCAACAUCCUCUAUUUAUUGAUGUGGCAUCUUCCCAACCUUUGUAUUUCACAUGAAUCCCAAAACAUGUCUGUUGCCCCCAUAGUAUGUUGUUGUUCCUUAAAUCACAACCCCUUGACCUUGAGGUCUAUUGCUCCUUCUCUUGUCAUGAUAACUUUGAUUUCACCUUUAAAAGGCAUUGCUUUCUUAUUGACGAACCACUUUCUUCGUCAUCCUUGUCAUAGGAAAUACCUCUUCUCCGUUCAAACUCAAUACCCUCUAUAUAUUUGCAUUUCUCAUGACCUAACAUCUACAAAACCUUUGUGUUUCACUGGGAUCCCCAAAGCAUGUUGAUUAUUACCAGCUCAGUGCUCUUGUUGUUGUUCUUGACUUGUGACACUUUGAUAUGCUAGCCAGACUCCAUUUUGUGCAAUUGAAAAGCUAGUGGCAAAUUUUGAAGUUAUUUCUCUCUUGUUAUAACCAAAUAGACUCAGAAAGGUAAAGUGGACAAAACAGAGGAACGGAGUGAAGGACAAAAGAAAAAAAUGAUUCCUAAAGAGAAAACUACGAAGUGGAAACCUAUCAGAUGUGGAUACCAACUGUAAUGACCAUGACAUGCACCUGUAGAUAUUCCGCCAAUCAAACCUGAUGUUUAGUUAUUGUUGUAACUUUUCGUUGUGAAACUGGGCUUCAAUGCUCCGCUUAUCCAAUUUGAUACGCAUUCCUUAUUUGAUUUGGUGCCCGAAGGGUUUUCACCAUCAAGACUCACUCAUUUUGUUCUUUCUCUCAAAUUACCGUCGCCUCAAGGUGCCCAUGAGGAUUUUCACCAAUAAGACUUUCUCAUUUUUAUUUUUCUCACCUUUCAUCGCCUUACGGUGUCCAUGGGGGUUUUCACUAAUAAGACUCUCUCAUUUUCUAUUUUCCUUGUUUCGACCGAAGUGCUUCCCCUGAUAUGAUUCACCUCUACUUGCUCGCCUUGGCAUUUUUCAAAGACUGAUCGAAACGUCUUUCUUUGGAUCUUAAUGUGGCUUUUGGACAGGGUUGGAAAAGAAUGGUACAAAAGGCUCAAAAACAAUUUCAAAAUGGGUUAAAAUUACAACAUUUAAAAUCCAAUUUCUCAAAACAACCACAACUUCUGCCUCAGUUUCUUGCUUGAGGAUUUUUGGAUUUUUAUUUUGGCAUGACUGAACCUCAGAGGAACGCUGCCUACGUACCCUUUCGGGAUCAAGUCAAACGUAGUUCACGUCAUAGAAACUAUGUUGUUGUGUUUUUUUCUUUUCUUUUUCUGUUCUUCUCUUUUUUCAUUUUUCUUUCCUUUCCUUUUUCUUUACUUUUUCUUUUCUUUUUCCUUUCUUUUCUUUUCUUAUUUCUUUUUCUAUUUUUCCUUUUAUUUUCUUCUUCUUCUUCUUUUUCCUCUUUUUCCUUUCUUUUUCUCAUUUGCUUAUCUUCGGCACUCGAAUUUCUUAAUUGUAUUGUUGAUUCCGAAAGAGGGGUAUGAAAGAAGAUAAAUAAAGCUCAAAAAGGAUGACAAGGGGUAAAAGUGUUUGGAUAGCAGAACAAAAUGCCUUCGUCAUUUCAAUCGUCAAAAUAUGCCAAAUAUAAAUAAGUACGAUCAAAAUAAAGCAAUCAUACAUAGUAUCUCUUGAUUGCAUGGGAAUUGAUGGCCAUUUCUACACAUUUUCCUUCAACAUCUGUUAGAUAUAAUGCACAAUCGGACAACACUCUCACUUUCAUUACCAUGAGCGGCCCCAGUUGAUUUGGCCAACCUGCCUUUAGGGUUUCUUUAUGUUUUAUCUGCCCCAGCUUCACAUGGUUCGGGCUUCAAACAAUCUUAAAAUGUUCAAAUAUGCUCUUAUUUCCCUCAAGUGGCCCCAUCGUCUUCACAAUGGUUUCAUUGCUUCCCGACUAACAUAGCUUUUAAAGAUUAGACUGAGAAUUAUGCGUGCGUAUCACCUCACUAGAACUAGCAUUUGACAAAGGACAAAACAAAAGGAUAGAAAAGAACUAAACAAAGAAAUUUCCUAGAAGUAGCAAAAAACCGAAACUUGCAUUAGACAAAUAGUGAAAUGGUCAGAUUAACAAGACAAGCAAAACAAACUGGGGUACAACCCUAGAAUGAAACGUAAACAAAUAUGGACAACACUAAACAAACCACUACAGCUAAACAAAAAUGAAAGCAUAAGAGGGUUUGAGUCACAAGACACAUCCAGAUUACAACCUGCAAAUAACUCGGACAACAAAAAUGACAACAAAAUGAACCACCAAAGCUCCUCUCCAGCUGACCUACAAAUGAAGCAUCCUUCCAAUUACCAAGCAUGAUAUCUUAGCCAAUAAAUUUCACAUCAAUAUUGCCAAAGCCAUUAUCAACUUUAAUCAACAAGUUCCCAAGAGGAUUCACAUGCUCCAUAUCACUAUCAUUGAACACAAUUACCCC